rnacentral:sRNA from 1 species
CGUGUCGACCCGCUCAAUCGUGGAUUCCACGAACCGGGGACCCAUGCACCACUGGGGUGAAUCCGCGGGCCACGGCCCGUGGUAGGGCGAUCUUCCCGCCCGAAUCCGUCAGCUAACCCGGUCGGCGGCAUCGGAAGGAGUU